GAAAGAGUUAUAUUUUAGUUUGUUAAGUUAUACUGGCUAUUUUAUUUGCAUCUUGAUCAGAUUUGAAAGUCUAGAUUGAUCUUUUCCAUAUGUUUGUUCCAUCGCAUGCUAAAACAACAACGAAAUAUCUCUCCAAAGCGGGUAAAAAUAUAGUGGGAAAUCGAUGUUUAGAUAAAUUUAACAAAUAUUUAUAUAACCUAACACGAAAUAUUAAGAAAAGAUCAAAGAGAUUCAAGAAAAAACACUUCAAAAACCCUAAAAUUCACUUUUCGCUAUAUAAAAAUGUAGAAAUUGUUUUGUUUUUGCAUAAUAAGCCUCGUUAUUGUGCAGUAUGAAGGCGCGGCCACUAAGUUUCGCAAUUGGUCUAUACAGAAGUUAGGGACCGUUCAUUUUUUAUCAGGGGGGCUGGUGGUUUUUGCAGGGGGGCCACCAGAAAAAAUAGCGAUGUGAAAGGGGGGUCACCUCAGGAAAAUUAAAUUUUGAGGGAGCCACCAAAAUGAAUACAUAAUAUAUAAAAAUCAAAGCCAUAAACUUUGAUUUGUACUCUUUCACUUAUAAAAACUCAAAGUUGGCAAAGUAAAGUAAUAAUAGAAUGCAAUCAAUAUAAAUUUAAAGUACGCAUGUAACAAUUAAGAAUUUUGCAUAUUUGUGAUAUGAAAAUCUAUUAAAAGUUAUUGGAAGUGACAUUGAGUAUUACAGUCAAACCGGAUGUUUUGUUCCCAUGAGUUUUGCAACAUUGCAAUCAAUCUUGCAGUGAACUCGAUCUAUGUCUUUUAUCUGGAAUGAUAACAUGCGGGAGAAACGUGAAGCAACGCCACUUCAUGCUAACGCCAGCGCGCUGACUCGCACUGAAUCGUGAUAGACCAUGCGGUGAUGGCGUAUAAGACGACUGAAACUGACAUUCGUGGCAAUGGACCACACGGUGAUGGCAUAUAAAGGGAC